rnacentral:rRNA from 1 species
UACGGGGGGGGCAAGCGUUGUUCGGAAUUACUGGGCGUAAAGGGCUCGUAGGUGGCCAACUAAGUCGGACGUGAAAUCCCUCAGCUUAACUGGGGAACUGCGUCCGAUACUGGAUGGCUCGAGUUUGGGAGAGGGAUGCGGAAUUCCAGGUGUAGCGGUGAAAUGCGUAGAUAUCUGGAGGAACACCGGUGGCGAAUGCGGCAUCCUGGACCAACACUGACACUGAGGAGCGAAAGCCAGGGGAGCAAACGGG